rnacentral:rRNA from 1 species
CAGUCGCCGCGGGAAUACGGAGGGUGCAAGCGUUAAUCGGAAUUACUGGGCGUAAAGCGCACGCAGGCGGUCUGACAAGUCAGAUGUGAAAUCCCCGGGCUUAACCUGGGAACUGCAUUUGAAACUGUCAGGCUGGAGUCUUGUAGAGGGGGGUGGAAUUCCAGGUGUAGCGGUGAAAUGCGUAGAGAUCUGGAGGAAUACCGGUGGCGAAGGCGGCCCCCUGGACAAAGACUGACGCUCAGGUGCGAAAGCGUGGGGAGCAAACAGGAUUAGAUACCCCAGCAGUCCCUGUCUCUUAUAC